AGAGUUUUCCUGGCUCAGGAUGAACGCUGGCGGUAUGCCUAACACAUGCAAGUCGAACGGUCUCUUCGGAGAUAGUGGCGGACGGGUGAGUAACGCGUGAGAAUCUGCCUUCAGGAUGGGGACAACAGCGAGAAAUCGCUGCUAAAACCCAAUAAGCCGAGAGGUAAAAUAUUUAUAGCCUGAAGAGGAGCUCGCGUCCGAUUAGUUAGUUGGUGAGGUAAGAGCUUACCAAGACAAUGAUCGGUAGCCGGUCUGAGAGGAUGAGCAGCCACACUGGGACUGAGACACGUCCCAGACUCCUACGGGAGGCAGCAGUGGGGAAUUUUCCGCAAUGGGCGAAAGCCUGACGGAGCAAUACCGCGUGAGGGAGGAAGGCUCUUGGGUUGUAAACCUCUUUUAUUAAGGAAGAAGAAAGUGACGGUACUUAAAGAAUAAGCAUCGGCUAACUCCGUGCCAGCAGCCGCGGUAAUACGGAGGAUGCAAGCGUUAUCCGGAAUUAUUGGGCGUAAAGCGUCCGCAGGUGGCUAAUCAAGUCUGCUGUUAAAGACAGAAGCUUAACUUCUGAGCAGCGGUGGAAACUGGAGAGCUAGAGUACGGUAGGGGUUGAGGGAAUUCCCAGUGUAGCGGUGAAAUGCGUAGAUAUUGGGAAGAACACCAGUGGCGAAGGCGCUCAACUGGGCCGUAACUGACACUGAGGGACGAAAGCUAGGGGAGCGAAAGGGAUUAGAUACCCCUGUAGUCCUAGCUGUAAACGAUGAACACUAGGCGUUGCUUGUAUCGACCCGAGCAGUGCCGUAGCCAACGCGUUAAGUGUUCCGCCUGGGGAGUACGCACGCAAGUGUGAAACUCAAAGGAAUUGACGGGGGCCCGCACAAGCGGUGGAGUAUGUGGUUUAAUUCGAUGCAACGCGAAGAACCUUACCAGGACUUGACAUCUCGAGAAGCUGUAGGAGACUAUGGUGUGCCUUAGGGAACUCGAAGACAGGUGGUGCAUGGCUGUCGUCAGCUCGUGUCGUGAGAUGUUGGGUUAAGUCCCGCAACGAGCGCAACCCUCGUUCUUAGUUGCCAGCAUUAAGUUGGGCACUUUAGGAAGACUGCCGGUGACAAACCGGAGGAAGGUGGGGAUGACGUCAAGUCAGCAUGCCCCAUACGUUCUGGGCUACACACGUACUGCAAUGGUUGGGACAAAGGGCAGCGAGCUCGCGAGAGUAAGCGAAUCUCAGCAAACCCAGCCUCAGUUCAGAUUGCAGGCUGCAACUCGCCUGCAUGAAGGAGGAAUCGCUAGUAAUCGCAGGUCAGAAUACUGCGGUGAAUUCGUUCCCGGGCCUUGUACACACCGCCCGUCACACCAUGGAAGUUGGCCACGCCCGAAGUCGUUACCCUAACCGUUUAGGCGGAGGGGGAUGCCGAAGGCAGGGCUGGUGACUAGGGUGAAGUCGUAACAAGGUAACC
rnacentral:rRNA from 1 species